rnacentral:rRNA from 1 species
CUGGCGGCAUGGAUUAGGCAUGCAAGUCGAACGAAGCAGCAAUGCUUAGUGGCGCAAGGGUGAGGAACGCGUGAGUGACUUACCCGCAAGUUUGGAACAGCUCCUGGAAACGGGAUUAAUACCGGAUGUGAUCGAAUGGGCUGCAUGGUUUAUUGAUUAAAGCAGUAAUGCGCUUGCGGAUGGGCUCGCGUCCCAGUUAGCCUAGUUGAUGAGGUAACGGCCCACCAAGGCCAUGAUGGGUAGCUGGUCUGAGAGGACGACCAGCCACACUGGGACUGAGAACUGCCCAGACUCCUACGGGAGGCUGCAGUCGAGAAUUUUGGGCAAUGGACGAAAGUCUGACCCAGCAAUGCCGCGUGCGGGAUGAAGGUCUUCGGAUUGUAAACCGCUGUUUGGAGGGACGAAAUUUGACGGUACCUCCAGAGAAAGCCACGGCUAACUACGUGCCAGCCGCGGC